rnacentral:lncRNA from 1 species
UCUGUAUGGAUUUCAGUGGAGAAAUAUAAUCGUAAUUUUUAAGCUUCAGGAAAAAAUGAUGACACUGCUAGAAAAGAUCACUGAUAGAGAGACCUAUAAAGCUGAAUGUGAAACAUAGGGCCAGCACUACUGUAAUAGCUGAAUUUAAACAGAAGAGUUCAAGUCUUAUACAAGGCUUGUCUGCUAGGUUCCACUGAUGAAAGCUAAGAAAAUUGCUGGCCCUUCUUAACCAGUAGCUGUUGUAUUGUGAUGAAAAUU